rnacentral:rRNA from 1 species
AUACGGAGGAUGCGAGCGUUAUCCGGAUUUAUUGGGUUUAAAGGGAGCGUAGGUGGGAUAUCAAGUCAGCUGUGAAAGUUUGGGGCUCAACCUUAAAAUUGCAGUUGAUACUGGUUUCCUUGAGUACGGUACAGGUGGGCGGAAUUCGUGGUGUAGCGGUGAAAUGCUUAGAUAUCACGAAGAACUCCGAUCGCGAAGGCAGCUCACCGGGCCGGAACUGACACUGAUGCUCGAAAGUGCGGGUAUCAAACAGGAUUAGAUACCCUGGUAGUCCGCACAGUAAACGAUGAAUACUCGCUGUUUGCGAUACACUGUAAGCGGCCAAGCGAAAGCGUUAAGUAUUCCACCUGGGGAGUACGCCGGCAACGGUGAAACUUAAAGGAAUUGGCGGGG